GAUGAACGCUGGCGGCGUGCUUAACACAUGCAAGUCGAACGGUGAAGGCGGAGCUUGCUCUGCUGGAUCAGUGGCGAACGGGUGAGUAACACGUGAGCAAUCUGCCCCUGACUCUGGGAUAAGCGCUGGAAACGGCGUCUAAUACUGGAUACGAGCUGCGAAGGCAUCUUCAGCAGCUGGAAAGAACUUCGGUCAGGGAUGAGCUCGCGGCCUAUCAGCUUGUUGGUGAGGUAACGGCUCGCCAAGGCGUCGACGGGUAGCCGGCCUGAGAGGGUGACCGGCCACACUGGGACUGAGACACGGCCCAGACUCCUACGGGAGGCAGCAGUGGGGAAUAUUGCACAAUGGGCGAAAGCCUGAUGCAGCAACGCCGCGUGAGGGACGACGGCCUUCGGGUUGUAAACCUCUUUUAGCAGGGAAGAAGCGAAAGUGACGGUACCUGCAGAAAAAGCGCCGGCUAACUACGU
rnacentral:rRNA from 1 species